rnacentral:rRNA from 1 species
UUGAACGCUGGCGGCAUGCCUUACACAUGCAAGUCGAACGGCAUCACGGGAGCAAUCCUGGUGGCGAGUGGCGAACGGGUGAGUAAUGUAUCGGAACGUACCUUUCAGUGGGGGAUAACGUAGCGAAAGUUACGCUAAUACCGCAUAUUCUGUGAGCAGGAAAGCAGGGGAUCGCAAGACCUUGCGCUGAUUGAGCGGCCGAUAUCAGAUUAGCUAGUUGGUGAGGUAAAGGCUCACCAAGGCGACGAUCUGUAGCGGGUCUGAGAGGAUGAUCCGCCACACUGGAACUGAGACACGGUCCAGACUCCUACGGGAGGCAGCAGUGGGGAAUUUUGGACAAUGGGGGAAACCCUGAUCCAGCCAUUCCGCGUGAGUGAAGAAGGCCUUCGGGUUGUAAAGCUCUUUCAGGAGGGAAGAAACGGUUACGGAUAAUACCUGUGACUAAUGACGGUACCUUCAGAAGAAGCACCGGCUAACUACGU